rnacentral:rRNA from 1 species
CCUACGGGUGGCAGCAGUGGGGGAUAUUGCACAAUGGGGGAAACCCUGAUGCAGCGACGCCGCGUGGGUGAAGAAGCGCCUCGGUGCGUAAAGCCCUGUCAGCAGGGGAGAAAAUGACGGUACCUGAAGAAGAAGCCCCGGCUAAAUACGUGCCAGCAGCCGCGGUAAUACGUAGGGGGCAAGCGUUAUCCGGAUUUACUGGGUGUAAAGGGGGCGUAGACGGCUGUGCAAGCCAGGAGUGAAAGCCCCGGGCACAACCCCGGGACUGCUGUUGGAACUGCGGGGCUAGAGUGGAGGAGGGGCAGGCGGAAUUCCUGGUGUAGCGGUGAAAUGCGUAGAUAUCAGGAGGAACACCGGUGGCGAAGGCGGCGUGCUGGACUGAAACUGACGUUGAGGCCCGAAAGCGUGGGGAGCAAACAGGAUUAGAUACCCGAGUAGUC